UGACGUCUCAGUUUCAACUUUCAAGCAAACAAUACUACGUACUACAAAAGUAUGUAUUGCUUUCUCGGCUCAUAGCAACAGGAGCUUCUGCUCCAUCCCUACUGAUGAAAAGGCACCACAAGUUACUUCAAUCCAACCAAAUGGACGGACAGAGACGAAUAGAAGGCCUCUCCCAUAAGAGAUGGAAAAGGCCUACUGGUCCAGCAGGAAAUUCGUACAAGGAACACUGAAGGAAGCAAAAUGGAGAGAAAAUAUUGGCCAUCUAGCGCUUCCAAUCAAGAAACCAACCGGAAAUCUUGACCGUUUUUCUAGACCAACAUGAGUGUGGACAGUGGUUGAGUUGGAGAG